GCCUGGCUAGCUCAGUCGGUAGAGCAUGAGACUUUUAAUCUCAGGGUCGUUGGUUCGAUCCCCACGUUGGGCG